UUCCUGGGCGACGAAAUUUGAAUUUCGUCUGCAGAACAAACGACAAUAGCCUAGUUUUGAAAUUUCUCAGAUCCAAAGUAUAGCCUAGUUUUGAAAUUUCUCAGAUCCAAAGUAUUAUUUCGUAAUUUUAGUAAAAAAUUGUAUUAAAAAAAAUAAAAAACUCUGUUUUUUUAAAGAGACCGUGGUUUGCUUUUACUCUUUUAUUAGUAGGUAUGGUCGCAUGGAGGCGGAGCCAUUGUUUUUGGGUGAAUGUUUUGCGCCGGUGCCGGCCCGGGCAGGUAUUGUUGCUGCCGUCAGAUGGUUUUUCGAGAUCCGCGCAUCUUGCCAGGCGCGGUGCCUCACGGCCAGCGGUGCCUCGCGUGCCAGAGGCACAAAUCUACUGCCGGGCCCAGUUGUCAGAUCAUUCCUCUUCCUCAAACCGCCGCCUGUCUGCUACUCUGUUUCCUCGAGCACCAUUCUUUCCUGCCUCUUCCCCUUCAAUCUCUCUUCCCCUUCCCCAAUCCAUCACCCCCUGCCACUACCACCAUGGAUGCUGUAUGCGCGCCCCAUUGUGUGCAGCGAUUUGAGGAACCCGUUUUCCCCGCUUGGUCCGCAACCUCAAGAAUGCCCCGGAAUCCUGGGCGCAAAUCCGGGUGGUAUGAGCAUUAGUGAGCAGAAUGCCUUUUGAGUUGUAUUGGUACUCUUCGCCAUCGGGGUAUAUGUUGCCUCGAUCCGGGUUUCUCUACCCAUUCCAUUUGCCUUUUUCUGGGGUUCUCUACCCAUUCCAUUUGCCUUUUUCUGGAUCUUUUGAAGUUGUUGUUGUAGAUUCAGAACCAGCAAGGAAAUUUGUUUCAAUGGAGUAAGCCACCGCUCUCCAGAUGGUUUCCCUUCAUGAUCGAUUCAUUCUUCUGAAUCUUCAACUAUCAGAUGGGGAACCAAAUUGUGAGUGGUUGACCUGAAUGUAAAUUCAGUCAGUGGUAGCAAGGAACAAGGUGAGUCCUCCAAUGUAUAUUCAGGAGUUCCAAGCAUGGAUUAUGGUGCAGAAAGUUAGCUGGGUGAGCAGAACAGUUCAAGCAUCGGCAAAGUUCAUCAAGCUCCAUCUUCAUCCAUUUGGCAAACAUUUUUUUCUAAUUAGACAAUCAUUUGAACAAUGCUUAUCUUUUUUGUUUGGUUAAUGUGCAAUAUGUAUUCUCUGUUGGCAAGCGUGGAAAAUGAUGGUGAUAUCUCCAUCGGAGGUUCAGUUGGCGAAGGGAUUGGGAACCAGGAUGGAGCAGGGCAUCAUGUUUUACAAACUGUAGAUGAAGGGAAUCUUUGCACCAACCUGACAAUGAUCAAUACAGAUAAUGCAUCUCAACCAUGGCCAAAGUGGUAUUGACUUACUAAUGUUUUUUUUUGUGAAAAACCAUUGAAUUCAUAUCAGCAUUGAUUAACUGAACUGCAUUUGAUCCUGUUAAUGGAUAGACCAACAAGGAUAACAUUACAAAUUCGAUGUAGCUAGGCUGUAAUGUUUCCAAGAAAAAAAUUAUUUUCAAUGCAGUUGUCUGAUCCUUAGCCAAUCAGAUAGCCUUCGCGGAAUGCUUGGAAUGGCAUAUAUUGAAUUGCACAUGAUGUUAUCAGUUAGACAGUGAGCUCCUUAUGUAUACAUGAACCAUCUGAAUCCUAUUUUAUUUGUGUGUGUAGCGAUGUGAUACUAACCCAGCAGAGUUUUUUCUAUCAUUGCCCAUAUUUUUAUUGUAGUAAGAGGUUGAGGCACCUCAAGGGUGCACCCCAAGUUAGAUGGGUGCCGUCUAGAGGGCGCUGUGCAAUGCUUAUAAUAAAAAUGGUGAAUAUAUAUAUUUGAGCUACCACCAGGGAUGACUUUUAACAGCUUCAAUGAAGCCCAUGAGUAUAUACUCUUGGGAGGAUGGAUUUAGUGCCAAGGAGAUAAAUAUGGGAAAUUAAUGCAUGAAUUCCAAUUCCAAUGCCAGUGCCACGGUUCUGACAAUUGAGAAGGUGACCAAAAAGAAGAAGAAAAAAUUUACAAGUGUUGAGCCAAUUGCAGCCUUGAUGAUCAGAUCAUAAAGAUGUCGGAAUGUAUAGCCAAUAUUGUUGGUAUUACUGUCUUAUUGACACAAUGGUGUAGACAUUGUAUCUGCUAGAGUUCUUGAUAUGUAGACGACCUUAAGCAAGCAGAUGGUGUUUUUGUCAUUCAAGGUCCUACGAACAUUGCAUAUGUAGGUCCUAGGGGCCAUUAACAUGGUUCGCCGCUAGUUUGAUGAUUUAGCUAAUUCCGGAUGGAUGGAGAACUUAAUCUUUCUUGUUGCUGUCACAACUGUAGCUGAUGUUGUACCAAUUAAUGUGCUUCUAUCACAUUUCAUUUGAUGUGUUACCAACCAGGACGCUGGCCGUGCAAAUUUGGUUGGUUA